rnacentral:rRNA from 1 species
UACGUAGGGUGCGAGCGUUAAUCGGAAUUACUGGGCGUAAAGCGUGCGCAGGCGGUUAUUUAAGUCAGGUGUGAAAGCCCUGGGCUUAACCUAGGAAUUGCGCUUGAGACUGGAUAGCUUGGAGUGCGGCAGAGGGAGGUGGAAUUCCACGUGUAGCAGUGAAAUGCGUAGAGAUGAUGGAGGAACACCGAUGGCGAAGGCAGCCUCCUGGGCCAGCACUGACGCUCAGUGCACGAAAGCGUGGGGAGCAGACAGG